rnacentral:misc_RNA from 1 species
CAGAAAAGAAAAAGACAAAAUUAAUCUGCAACAGAUGAUCAAAUAGAAGAGAAGUUUUCCACAUCAAAUUUACACAAAUUUUACAGGCAAGAGUAUCAAGAAUGAUAACAGAGAUACUGUCCACAUUGGAGACUGCAAACAUUUAUAUUCCACAAUACAUAAAACCUCAAGUGUGUCUAUCCAACCCAAACCCAGAUUGUUUUUUUAUCAGUAAUAAGUAUCAAAUCCAACACCAACUAACAAAAUCCCCCCAACAAAACUAAUAAAAAAUAUAAAUAAAUGCCCCAGACUCUAUAGAACAAAAAUUAACUUUAAAAGAAGAUUAAAAAAAAACCUGUUUUAAAUGACAAAAGAUUUCUUAUUUCUGCAACUCCAUUUCAUGUCUUCUAAUUGAUUGGAAAUUGAAACCCCACAAUGGCAUUGGAUUGUUGAAGCUCAAUCAGACAGGGGUUUAGUCUUGGACCUAUAGAGGAGCUUCUUCUUCUUGGAGGUUUGGUUAUCAAUAGUGAGUACUACCUUCCCGGAUUCACUAAUCUUGAAGGUGUCACAGAUUAUAGGCUCAUCAGUUGGGCUAACCUUCCUGGUUUUUGAUACAAUAACAGUGUAACCAUCCUCUGCACUAGGCACGAACUCAGCUCCAUAGCUCACAUCCCAACCCACUACUCGGAGUUCCCAAACCAGAAGGCACCUCUCAGAAAAUGAGAAUUCAACGGUAUGUUUGGUGGUUGGCUUAAUUAUAACCUCUGUGGCAGAAUCAGCAACGGUGAAUUCCUGUUCACCUUCCCUGCUUAGUCCACCAUACUGAACUGGCACUUGUUCAGGAGCUAUGUAUCUGAAAAGGGUCUCAGCAGAUUUGGAUGGACCAGCGAAAACAAACUUGCUCUUGGUCCUCUGUGUCAGGAAAGGACUAAUCAUCCUAUUGAAAGCAAGGUACCACCAUGGAACAUUGAUGAAGACCUGUUUCGCAACAAAUUCAGGAUAGUUAUCUUGAAGCAAAGCAACGGCUUGAUUGGUGGCCUGCCUAAGCUCCCUCUUAGCAGGCCCCGGAGAAUUCUUGAGAUCGUUGACCUGAACAAUAGUGCAGAUACCAUUGGGACUGAAAUCAAGCUUCCUAAUGCUCCUCUCCAAGAACUGAAUCCUCCACUGAAGAAAUUUCACACGCUUCUCCUCAUUAGCAAAGCAAUUCUGAUACAGCUCCUUGUCCUGAAAAGCACCAAAAACAUUAUAGCACACAGGAUGACCUUCUUUGUCAAAUCCGUGCAUAAACACAGCCUUUUCCAAUUCAUUUCCAAGGUCUUCUUCAAGCAGAGCAUCAAUUCCAAAAUCCUUUCUCCAGCGCACUGUGUUCUUGAUCAUAGUGAAGGCAUCCUUCACCUUGAAAUCCCUGGCUCUCAGGAAUUUCAAGAGGAUCACAUCACUCUUCUCAUCUCCAAGAAGUGGAAUUCCCCAGAUGAAAACUUCCUCCGGGGGUGGCGGAGGAGGAGCGGGGGUUUCCUCAGCUUUGGGUUCCUCUACUGGAGCAGCCUCAACUUCUUUAGCGGGGGCUGACUCCUCUGCAGCAGGAGGAGUCGAAGAAACCGCUAUUACGGUCUCCUCAAUUGCCUCUACUGUCUUGGCUCCAUCCUCAUCCACAGUAGUCACCUUCGCCACCACCUCUUCAGCGACCACAACAGCUUCCGCCACUGGCUCAUCCUUCUUUUCUUCUUUUACUUCCACCUUCUCCUCUUCUUUCACUUCAACCUUCUCUUCCUCUUUCGCUUCCACUGGCGGUGGGGGUGGUGGGGUUACAGUCUCAGCCUCGGCGGGUUUAGGUUCUUCAGUUUUGGCCACUUCACUCGUAGAUGGAACAUCAGGAGUUUUCUCUUCUUCCUUGACUUCAACCUUUUCUUCCUCCUUCACUUCAACUUUCUCCUCCACCUUCUCCUCUGCUUUUUCAGGCUCAGCCGGCUUCUCCUCCUCUUUAGCAGGUGGCGGCGGCGGGGGAGCAGUGAACUGAUGCUUAUUAAGAGCUUCUUGGAUAUGCUGUUUCAACUCAUCAAGGGCUUUCUUUUGAGCGUCAGGGAGUUCACCAACAACAUUAGUCUCUUCCUUAAAAGAAACGGAUUGGGCAAUUUUCACUUCCCCAGUUUCCUUAGGUUUCUCAGCUUCAACAGCGACGACCUCCUCUUCAACCACAGGUGCAGGCUUUUCCGGUGCCUCAGGUUCCGGUUCAGGAGCCGGUGGAGGCUCUUUCUCAGUAACGGGCUUCUCCACAACUACUUCCUCAGUUGAACGAGCCUCAGGUGCAGGUGCUGCCGGCUUCUGGGUCUCCUCAGCCAUCGUCGAUGAUGAUGAUUUGCUUUUGAUAGAUCAAGAAAAGAAAAAAAAAAUCAAUCUUUACAGAGAGAGAGAGAGAGAGAAC